UCUUGUAUAACUCUUGAAUUGUUAAAUUAUAAUUGCUACUUGCUAAAUAUUAAAUGGAAGAGAAAAGAAUUGCUAGAACAGAGAAUAAAUAGAAGUAAAGAGAUUAGAGAGGGAGAGAAUUGGUUUAAUGAAUUGGUGUGGUGAGAAUGAAAGAGGAGGGCCCUAUUUAUAGAAGUCCCUAAAUUUUUAUUUUUUCAAAAUAUCCCUCAAUCUAGCCGUUUUUUAGCAAUUAGAGGGGUGAAAUAAUAAAAACAAAAAAAUAGCCGUUAGGACCC
rnacentral:lncRNA from 1 species